CAUGCAAGUCGAGCGGUAAGGCCUUUCGGGGUACACGAGCGGCGAACGGGUGAGUAACACGUGGGUGAUCUGCCCUGCACUUCGGGAUAAGCCUGGGAAACUGGGUCUAAUACCGGAUAUGACCUCCUAUCGCAUGGUGGGUGGUGGAAAGAUUUAUCGGUGCAGGAUGGGCCCGCGGCCUAUCAGCUUGUUGGUGGGGUAAUGGCCUACCAAGGCGACGACGGGUAGCCGACCUGAGAGGGUGACCGGCCACACUGGGACUGAGACACGGCCCAGACUCCUACGGGAGGCAGCAGUGGGGAAUAUUGCACAAUGGGCGAAAGCCUGAUGCAGCGACGCCGCGUGAGGGAUGACGGCCUUCGGGUUGUAAACCUCUUUCAGCAGGGACGAAGCGCAAGUGACGGUACCUGCAGAAGAAGCACCGGCUAACUACGUGCCAGCAGCCGCGGUAAUACGUAGGGUGCAAGCGUUGUCCGGAAUUACUGGGCGUAAAGAGUUCGUAGGCGGUUUGUCGCGUCGUUUGUGAAAACCAGCAGCUCAACUGCUGGCUUGCAGGCGAUACGGGCAGACUUGAGUACUGCAGGGGAGACUGGAAUUCCUGGUGUAGCGGUGAAAUGCGCAGAUAUCAGGAGGAACACCGGUGGCGAAGGCGGGUCUCUGGGCAGUAACUGACGCUGAGGAACGAAAAGCGUGGGUAGCGAACAGGAUUAGAUACCCUGGUAGUCCACGCCGUAAACGGUGGGCGCUAGGGUGUG
rnacentral:rRNA from 1 species